rnacentral:miRNA from 1 species
CGGCGCGGGGGAGAGGGGAAGGGAAGGAAAAAAUAGCGGAAGCUAUUUUUUCCUUCCCUUCCCCUCGCCCGCGCGCCGAUUUUCAGCGG